rnacentral:rRNA from 1 species
AACGAACGCUGGCGGCAUGCCUAACACAUGCAAGUCGAACGAGACCUUCGGGUCUAGUGGCGCACGGGUGCGUAACGCGUGGGAAUCUGCCCUUGGGUUCGGAAUAACAGUUAGAAAUGACUGCUAAUACCGGAUGAUGUCUUCGGACCAAAGAUUUAUCGCCCAGGGAUGAGCCCGCGUAGGAUUAGCUAGUUGGUGGGGUAAAGCCUACCAAGGCGACGAUCCUUAGCUGGUCUGAGAGGAUGAUCAGCCACACUGGGACUGAGACACGGCCCAGACUCCUACGGGAGGCAGCAGUGGGGAAUAUUGGACAAUGGGCGAAAGCCUGAUCCAGCAAUGCCGCGUGAGUGAUGAAGGCCUAGGGUUGUAAAGGCUCUUUUACCCGGGAUGAUAAUGACAGUACCGGGAGAAUAAGCCCCGGCUAACUCCGUGCCAGCAGCCGCGGUAAU